rnacentral:miRNA from 1 species
GACUGACACCUCUUUGGGUGAA